rnacentral:rRNA from 1 species
CCGCAUCUGUGCAUGCAGCAUAUCAAUAAGCGGAGGAAAAGAAACUAACAAGGAUUCCCCUAGUAACGGCGAGUGAAGCGGGAAGAGCUCAAAUUUGAAAGUCUUAAAGGGUUUCCCUUUACGAAUUGUAGUUUAAAGAAGUGUUUUCUGUUGAGGUUUUGGUAAAAGUUCUUUGGAAUAGGACAUCAUAGAGGGUGAGAAUCCCGUAUUUGACCUUUACUUUCAACUUUGUGAUACACUUUCAAAGAGUCGGAUUGUUUGGGAAUGCAGUCCAAAAUGGGUGGUAAAUUUCACCUAAAGCUAAAUAUUGGCGAGAGACCGAUAGCGAACAAGUACCGUGAGGGAAAGAUGAAAAGAACUUUGAAAAGAGAGUUAAACAGUACGUGAAAUUGUCAAAAGGGAAGCGUUUGACACCAGUGUUGUUUUUCUGAAAAUCAAUUAAAGAACUGUUUAUGCUAAGCUGUUUAGACUUUAUCAGCUAUCUGUUUAGUUUUGAGCUUUUCUUUAAUGCACUUUUCAGUUAACAAGUCAACAUCAAUUUCUUUUGCUGUAAAAAAGCUUGAGGAAGGUGGCUUGAGAUUCGUCUUAAGUGUUUAUAGCCUCUUGCCUAUGCAGUCGGAGAGAUUGAGGUCUGCAGCGUAGAUCCUUCGGGGCUAAAUGCAUUUGUGCUAAGUUAUAGCAUUUUAUAGACAACUUGUUGACUAUGAUUUGUCUUGUAGCUUACUCGCUUAUGUUAUUUUACCUACGCUUAGGAUGUUGAGCGCAUGUCUCUCUCU